rnacentral:rRNA from 1 species
AAACGCUGCCUAAUACAUGCAGUCGAGCGAAUGGAUUAAGAGCUUGCUCUUAUGAAGUUAGCGGCGGACGGGUGAGUAACACGUGGGUAACCUACCCAUAAGACUGGGAUAACUCCGGGAAACCGGGGCUAAUACCGGAUAAUAUUUUGAACUGCAUAGUUCGAAAUUGAAAGGCGGCUUCGGCUGUCACUUAUGGAUGGACCCGCGUCGCAUUAGCUAGUUGGUGAGGUAACGGCUCACCAAGGCAACGAUGCGUAGCCGACCUGAGAGGGUGAUCGGCCACACUGGGACUGAGACACGGCCCAGACUCCUACGGGAGGCAGCAGUAGGGAAUCUUCCGCAAUGGACGAAAGUCUGACGGAGCAACGCCGCGUGAGUGAUGAAGGCUUUCGGGUCGUAAAACUCUGUUGUUAGGGAAGAACAAGUGCUAGUUGAAUAAGCUGGCACCUUGACGGUACCUAACCAGAAA